GAUGAACGCUGGCGGCGUGCCUAAUACAUGCAAGUCGAGCGAACGGACGAGGAGCUUGCUUCUCUGAUGUUAGCGGCGGACGGGUGAGUAACACGUGGAUAACCUACCUAUAAGACUGGGAUAACUUCGGGAAACCGGAGCUAAUACCGGAUAAUAUUUUGAACCGCAUGGUUCAAAAGUGAAAGACGGUCUUGCUGUCACUUAUAGAUGGAUCCGCGCUGCAUUAGCUAGUUGGUAAGGUAACGGCUUACCAAGGCAACGAUGCAUAGCCGACCUGAGAGGGUGAUAGGCCACACUGGAGCUGAGACACGGUCCAGACGCCUACGGGAGGCAGCAGUAGGGAAUCUUCCGCAGUGGGCGAGAGCCUGACGGAGCAGCGCCGCGUGAGUGAUGAAGGUCUUCGGAGCGUAAAACUCUGUUAUGAGGGAAGAACAUAUGUGGAAGUAACUGUGCACAGCUUGACGGUACCGAAUCAGAAAGCCACGGCUAACUACGUG
rnacentral:rRNA from 1 species